GGCAUGUGGGAUAAAUUCAUAAGUUGAAUCCAUGAUUUUUGAAUGCACGUAGACAUUCAGUAUGAAUUUUGAUAUUUAAAUUCAUGGGUUGAACCAAUGAUUUAAUGAUAAAAUUAAAUUUAUAGAUUCAACUCAUAAAUUAAGCUGUUUAAAUUUUUUAAUUAGAAAUUAAAAAUUUGUGGCCCGAGUCAUGUUUUCAAGCUAAAAAAAAAAAAGAAGAGAGAAAGAGAGAGAGAGAGAGAGGAGGGGAGAGGGAUAUAAAUAAAAUAUAUAUUAAAUAAAAAUAAAAAAUAAAAAAAAUGGUGUAUUGAGUAAACAAAAAAGAUCAUGUGGUUUCGUACUCCCCCGCAUCCCACAUAUUUGAUUUAUUUUAUUUAUUAAAUAAAAUAAUAAAUAAUGAAAUAAAAAAAGACUUCUCUACACCCACCUCGCCAUCAAUCCUGGCUCCAUGCGGUUCUCUCCGACCCGUCAUGUGACUCUGUGCACCUUCAGAGAUAGGAGGUGGGAGAGUGCGAAGCUGUGGGAAGGAGGGCUGCAUGGAGAAAAAGGGAUGC
rnacentral:lncRNA from 1 species